GGAAUGGCGCCGAGCGGGGCCGCCCCUCAGCACGGCGGCUCCUCCCCUGUGGGCACGGCGGCUGCCGCCUCGCAGCCACGCGGUGGCGAUGUGCGGUAAGGGUACCUGCAGCUCGCUCCGAGCCCUUCGGCUGGGCUGUGGAUGUGUCGAGAUCCUGACGUUGAUUGACUGCACAACAGUUCCUGAGAGAGCAGUGUGCUGAAAACCCCUGCUCCAGUUGGUGAUGUGCUGCCAAGGGCUGUUGGCUGGGUUCAGUAUCCAGGAGAGCUUCCCUCCCAUAGGAGCACAGCCACCUGUAAUACAACUCCAGGUGCUGUCGGGGCUCCUUUGGUUCUUCACACUGGCUCUCCCCCACCACGGCGUCCCAUCAAGCCUGGCCCCAAGGGAGAAGGUGCUUGUGGUGAGUUUACUGCCUAGCACUCCUCGUUCUGGUAUCGUGCUUGACCUUUCUCCAUCCACAGCCUCUCUCAUUGCUCUGAACUGUCUGAGUUCUCUGGGGCUGAGCUUUGUGAAGAUUUGCUCAGGGCACAAAUCAUAAGAUGAAGGGAAGCAUGUAAGUGUUCUAAGACUGUUGAAAGCAUCUGAUGACUCCUGUACCAUCAGGGCAAGAAGACUGUGGCUCUCAAAUUGAAGACCAAACACUUAGGGUCAACAGCAGCACUUUCCAGCCAAGGGCCAUGUUACCCAGAGUUCACUCUUUUUUUUUUUUGUUGAAAAUGCCAGAAUAAAAAACAACUCCUGGCUGAUUUAAUCGGGUCUGAUGUUAGCUGAACCAGGCAAUGGUCUCUAUUUGUCGUGACUGUCAUCUGCAGUUAUAAAUAACUGAUCACAGCAAACUGGCUCAGACAAAGCUCAAGAAAAGAUUGGAGCUUUGAGUAGCUAGCAGCAAUGCCAGCAUUGAUUCAGUCAGCUUUCUGCUGUGCCACCAGAUCUUCCUUAUGCCCUUAAGAGCUUCUUUCUCUUAGGGGUGGGGAAAGUCCGUGGUGUUUCUUCCCUCACACAUGCCAUUAUCUAAUUCCUCUCAAGUGAAUUGCAGAAUACUUGUAGCUGCCUAAGGCAUGGUGCAUAACUCUGAUGCUUGAGCCCUCGCUAUGCUGACAAGCAUCUUCAUUUCACCUCCUCUACUUCCUUUUCUUCAUCCCCUACCCCCAAGCUUUUUACAACCACAGCAAGCCCUGCAAGUGAAUCCCAGCCUUUGUGUUCACACCAGUCACCAGAAGCCUGCAGAUAACUGAAACAAUGACACCAUUUAUCACUCGCACAACAUGCCAGUAACCACAGUGCUAUGCUUUGCCUCUUAAAUCAUUGAAUGCGACAUAAAAAGUGCGAUUUACACAUGGCUCUUCAAUAUACCAACCUAGCACUUGCUUCCCUUUGUGCCUGAGUAGCAGAGGCUUACAGCUAAGCAGUGCAGUCUGCUGUGACAUCCACGUGUGACACUAUGGAGAGAAGGGGCUCUGACCAUGCAGGCCAGGUCACAAAAGCCUGCAUCCCUCCCUGGGAUGUGCGAAAUUUGUGCAGCAAGGUCGGUCCAGACUUUCUCUUCCAGACAACUUUAAGGAGGAAAACAAAAGGGUGGAGUAGAUUUUCUGCCUAAUCCAGGCUCUGAAUGUUUAGCAUAUGGGGUCAUAAAAUUUCCCUGAGCUGGCCAAGGGAAAAUCUGCCUGGUGCAGAUGCUGUACCAAAAAGAUCUGUGGAGGCCAUUAUAAAUCCCAGCAUGGGUAGGCCUGCAGCCAGGAGGAAAAUCCUUGUAUCGUCUAUAGACACAGGGGUUCUUAGCAGUGAGUGAUGGUGCCAGGUAGUCAAGCAGCUACCUGCUGUUUUUAUUUACAUUGGGCCUUGCUGUGGCCUCCACUGAUGUUCAAAAUCUUCAGAUCCACUUAAUGUCACUGCUCCCAUCCAUUGGGCAUCUUGUUUUCAAUGCAUAAGGUACUGCUUCAGAGGAGUUGACACAGCCCAUAGUCCAAGUUUCUUUUCCAGCAUGGUGUGAGUCCUAGACCUGAGGCCAUGUAGGAAAAUGAGAAAUGUGCUAUGGCUGCAGCAAAGGUUUCUAGGAGGUGUUCAAGCAGGGCUUCCCUCAGAGCAAGGAGAGCCACAAGGUCACACACACUGCAAUACAGCACCACUGCCCUCCACUCUGGCUGCACCCAACCUGAUGCUGCAAUCAGAUAAGGGAGUCUAAGCCAUCAGCAAAACUCCUCUCUUCCACUUUAUACCUUGCCAACUUUUACACACAUCACUUCCAGCCACUGGGAGAAGCCAGCUCUAACCUCUGGCAAACACAUCUCACAGCAAUGGAAACUGCAUUUCAGCUGAUCUGCAAAUUCUUCCUACCCGUUCUGCAUCCCACUGGGGAAGUCACAGGACUGUGUUUCAGAUGUGGGGUGAUGGGAGGCUGCUUAAAGAAGUUACUUCUGUUACUUAUAAAGUCACCACCGUCUCUAGACCAGGAGUAGGAGUUCAUGUACAUCCAUAUCCACUUGGUAAGGUCAUUAUAAUAAACCUGAAGAGGAAAACUGUCAAAAAGUACAAUUCUGUUUGCCUUCCCAGCAGUACCACAUAUGAAUUUGAUUUUCUGAUUGUAAAAAAAAAACAACAAAACUAUUAAAUCAUUUUCUGUUUAAGUCACCAUACUAACAUAAGAAACCCAGUGCACAUCCAUGGAUAGACCAUUGGAUAUGGUCUAUUUGCCCUUAGUGCAAAGACAAUAACCCUGUAAGUGGGUCCUUCAUCGUGGCAGAGCAGCAUCAGUGCAGUGAGGGGCCCAGGAGGAAAGAGAAACAGGCAAGAAAGAUCUGACCAUGAGCUCCAGAGCAGGAAUUCAGCAAACUUGUUGACAUCACUGAAGUCGGGCAAAUUCCUCACCAAAAAUAAUAAUGAAUAAAAUGCCAUGAAUAUUUGCUCACAGAAAUGGAACUGUUAUACUUUGAAUAUGAUUUAUGCAAAUAAUAGAGCACAUGAUUUUGUGGGGGUAGGAGUGCUGGAGAAAACAGAGAGGAGUAAAAAGUUAUGGAAGGCAAACUGACAAAGGUUGGUCAGCCCCUUUGCUCCAACAGCUCUGCAGGGGAAAUCAGUCCCAUUGGGAAAAAGAGCUCCACACUGCCUAAUGAAGGGUUAAAAUCACCUGGUAGGAAGCGCAGUCCUGAAGGGAAACAAGUUUGUGGGGAGAAAGCAACACUCAGAGAAACAAAGUCUUGAUUUCAGUUCUUCAGCCUUUCCAUGCCAACCCUUCCAUGGCAGCACUGCCACUCCCAGCCCUGCAACCAUGGGGUCUGGGCUUGUCCUUACUCAAAGGAAAGCACCGUAAUCUCAUCCCUCUGCCUCUCCCCAGAGCGAAUGAGGCUGUUUAUUGGGAGGCCUGACUCUCCUGUACUUAAACCCACAGUUGCCAGGUUGGACUUUGCAGGAAUUUUUAUGGCUGAAUUGCACCUCAUGCUAGCAGGCGUUGAUAACCACACUGAGCAGCUCACAACAGCCUUGAAUUCUGGGCUCAGGCCAGCCUGUCCGUGUCUCCUGAGCUUCUGGGAUAAAGGAGGUCAUAACAACAGCCAGAGCAGAGGGAGUCUCCUAUGCUAAUGCUGAGCAGGCCGUGGCUUGUGCACAUAAAGAAGGCAAAAGGCAGAGAUGUCCUUGCUGCCAGGAACAUAAAAGGUGAGUUUAAGACCAGUUUUGGAUGAUCUCCUUUGUUGCCAGGCAGAAAAUAUGCCCAGAGUCCUUCUGUUCAGCUGGUAUCUGCUAGUAUCUGUAUGCAGCCUUGGCAUGACAGCUAGUGGCUCUGUGUACUCAAACAAAUGAAGCCCUUUAGCUGGAGUCAUCCUGGGAUUAUUGUUUUGUCAAAUAAGUUGCUUAGCUGGAAGUUUUGCUCCCCAUCCUGCCCUUACUUCUGACUUUCUCGCAGCUGAACUGCUUGGACCAAGUCACAGGCUGGAUCUGAGAAAAUAAAUGGCUGUGAAAAGUGCUACUCGGUGUUCCUUAAAUGCAAAAUGAUUUUUUUCUGCAAUUCAAAAUAAAUGCACUAAAUGCACAGCCUUCUUUCCAGCAACAUCAAAGAGGCAACAAGGACAUCUCCAAAUAAGUAAGAUAUGAUUCUCAGCUAGUACUGUUCAGGGGAAAUACAGUUAUUUCUAUCUGAUGAGAUCCAUCCCUAGAAUUUUAUGGUUAUUACAGCUAAAAAUCAAUUGUCCUUUCUUCCUGAGAGAUCUCCUGGCAGCCUCCUCCAUUGACCAGCAGCACCGCUCCCCAGCCACCUCCCACAGCCUUCCCAGCACCUGCUCCCCCAUCCAGGGGAGGAAUACAAAAGCAAGGGCAACCCAGUUCCUCUCCUUGCUUUGUAACAUUGCAUCCUUUUGCUCACGAGCCCCUAAUCUACUCUUCAACUAUUAAUAUCACUCAGGUUUUCCUUAUGGCAGGUGCUUCUGGGAGAUGGUUAAUAAUCACCAUGUGUGAACUCUCCUUGUCCUACAGAUGCAGCUCUGUGGGUUUUGCUUGCUGGGAGGUAUUCAAGCUGACUCUCUCCCUUUGAGCCUUUUGGUGGAAGAACAAUGUUUGCUGGCUUUCGUUCAGCUUUGAGCACAGCCCAGCCGCAGCUCAUCAAUGCGUCUGCAACAUAUCAGAGAAUAUAAAGCAGGCUCCUCUCACAGUGGUGCUUUGGUCGUGGAUAAAAAGCUGCAGUUAGCUUUUGCAAAUAUUACAAGAUGGCAAACGCCCUUCAAGUUUCACUUCUCAAACUGGAGAUGUGUUGUUCUGUAAGCCCAGCCAGUUUCUCCCAUAGAUCACAGAACUGGAAGCUUAUAUCUGCUGUACAAAGAAGUCUCCUCACGAGCAGCCAGGGAUGGUUCAUGUUGCACUGGAUUCUUAACUCACACGAGUUACUAAUCAAACAUGAAACAAGUGGAAUUGCAAAUAAUACAUAACAGGCCUAAGGCACAGAUCUUAGAACAGAAUUUGGGAAUGCUACUCAGCCCAACAGAAAUAAAUUGUCUAAACAUCUUUUAAAAAUCUUGGUCUUAGUGACUCUACUAUGAGUCAUUCAUUAGUACUCUAUAAUUUCCUCCCCAGUUGCAAUAACAGUUUCAGCUGCUUCACAUGAGCAGAAAUUUGCUGUCCUGUCUCACAGGUAUCAGUAUGGAAGUUUCUUUUCAGAAUGAGCCCCUCUGCAUAGUUGUUCUUUCAGAAGAUUUUGUUAUAUUGUUCAUGCUUCCUAUCUAAACAUCCUCUGCAUCACAGAAAACACCAAUGAACUGAGGGGGCUUUUUUCUCAUCCUCCAUAUGUUCCCACUGGAAGAUAUCUUUACAUAAUCAAGAGCAAAAUAAUUAAGGGAAAUUAUUGCAAUAUUCAGCUUGUUCUCCUGGUGCAGCAAGAAUGACCAGUUUAUAAGGAAUUGAGCAGCUGGCCUUAGGUCUCAUUGAAAGACCUAAUCUUAUUUUAAACACUUCUUCAUAAUACGUGUGCUGAACAUGAGCAUCUUCUCUGCCUUUCCAGCAGCAGCUCUCUGCACCCUUCCACCCUUCACUUCUCUGGUAGGUGUUUGCUUUCCCUCACUUUGACAGAGCUUGGGCACGUUGCUGGGGCAUCCAAUUCAAGCACAGUCCUUCCGAGCUGUGCACCAAGCACAUUUCUCUUCUUCUCUGAUACGGCCACAGUCAAACAGAAAACUAUUCAAACCUAGUUAGUUAUUAAAAGCCGUUGGUUAAUUGGUACUUGCUAAGGACCUUAGACUCCAUUUGAUUGUGUCCAUGAAUUCAUUGUACAGAGACAAAAGGCCUCAAGAGAAAAGUUUAAAAACGGACACAGAUCUUUCUAUUUAACUUUACCUGCUUAACUUAAUAAUGCUUUGUUCUCUACCAUUUGAUAGUAUGUCAUUUUCUUAUCAAGGAAAGAGAUAGGAAACUUCUUAAUGCUAACACGGGGAAGCACAUGUUUCCUCCUCUGGUAAUAAUUAAGAUGUGUUUAAGUUCAAAGGUGCUUCUUUGUGCCUGAGUUCUCGAAGGGCAGAUGUCAAGUCCUCUUAGUAAGAAGUCAGGCAAUAAGAAAUCGUCUUCUUUCUAAAGGAUUAAUCAAUAAGAUGAAGCAUGACCCAAUGCUUCCCCCUCUCUCACCUCCUGCUGAUGCUGACAGAGCUAAAAGCAAUGAGAACUGGCUGAGAAG